AUGGAUUGCACUUGCCAGGUCUCUAAGAUAACACUCCUGUUCCUGUCACCUUCCUGCUGUGCUGGGAACAGAUAAUAAAACUCAUUGGGAGUUUAGCGACUUUUUUCCAAGCCUUACCAGGGCCUGUAACUCAGGUGGCUGUUUCUGCCCUGUUGCUGUGCCCACACUGGGUCCCAGCCUUGGCACUGCUGGGGAAUGGGGUGUGGGGGCUGGCCCCUGGUUUUGUCACCAGUGAGUUGUCGAAACCACGUCUGCUGUCAAGGGGCUCUAGGGGUGGGGGACUGCUGUGGGACACGGAGACGGCUUCCCACAGCCAAGAACUAAAGCCCUGGGGGUUUCUAUCCACUGUUGUUCUGCAUGGGCUGGGACACCGAGGGGCCAGCACCCAAGCUCCCCCAGCAGUGUCAUUCUCAGUCUCCUGGGUGCUUCACCCUCCUUCCUCCUGUGCAGACCCUGCCUUGUCUCUGAUCCCAAAGCAUGGGGGAACGAACCAGCAUGUUCAGAAUCCUGUGACACUCAGCCAGAGCCCUCUGUGCCGGACACUGCGGGGCCCAGCUGGGCCCCAGUCCUCCAUCCCUGGGGAGCUCAUGGAUGGUCCCCCAGGGGCGGGGGGGAGAUGUGGGGCGGGGAAGGGGUCAUGGGAUGCGGAUCACAGGAGUGCCUGAGGGCUGUGUGUCCCCGGGUGCAGGAGGCAUGGAGACACUAGGCACGUUCAGGGGGCUCGGGGACGUGGCUGCACAGGAGCCAUUGACACAGCUCAGCGCCCAGGUGAGGGUCCCCGUGCGGUGUCGCCGCGCCACGUGGCCGGGGCCGAGGGCGGCUCCCGGUGAGUCACUGCCGCUCGCCCCUCCCCGGGCUGCCUCAUAAAGCGCCGCGGUCCCGAGCGCCGCCGUCCCGUGUCUGAGCCACGGGCUCUCCGUGUGUACCGGAGCGGUGGGUGGACAGCCUUGAGGGACACUAGCCGCGACUUGAGGGAUUCCGGGAGGAGGAUGCUGGGGGAGCUCCUGGGACGCCCUGCUUGGAUCCUUCUGCUCUGCUGGAGCCUGACUGCUUGCUGCACAGGUGCCAUGGCCUUGCAGCCACCCCGUAUCACCACCCUGCGGAUGCCAGCAGAGCUCCCCCGCCCAGGCGAGAGCGUGACUGUGUCGUGCGAGGCUUUGAGUGGGCUUCCAGAGUCAACGCUGCUUUACUGGCUGGAGAACGGCUUCUUUGUGGAGAGCCUGCACCCGGAUGGGGCUGUGCGUGAGGGGACAGUGCAAGAGGAGCUGCAGGCCUCGGGGCUGGCCCUGCACCGUGAUCUGCACUUCAGCUCCUUCAACGAGCAGCACCUGCACACCAACUUCACCUGCGUGGUGCUCAGUCCCCUCGGUGUCGACACCAGGGAGGUCUCCAUCAUGAAGAUGACAUCCCAGUUGAAGGGCAGGGUGCCCGUUUUCCAGAGGGAGGUGGAGGUGGAGCAGCCAACAUGGAUGGGUUGGUGGUACUGCGAUGUUCCCAUGGACACAGUAGCAGCUAAGAAGAUGUAUCCAUGUGGAAGCAGCACACCUCAUCAGUGACCAUGGGUAUGUCCAUUCUGCUGCAGGAGCACCUCUGAAGGAAAUAUGGCCCAAGAAUAAAACCAUGCUGGAGAAGUUCCAUGCUACAGCCUUCCCCGCUGUAAUGUUUGCCUCUGCUGUGGAAAGAAGCUCUGCAUAGGAUGGACAGGCUUGAGGAUUUUAAAGAGGUGUUUAUAGAAGAAUUGCCUCUCCUGGAGUCUGUGUACACCUGAAAAUCAAAAUACCCGUACAGUGAACAUUUCAAGUGUGUUUUUCAAGUUCAGUGCUACAGUACUGCCUAUUUUAUCUUGCAUUUUUAUCUUACUGGGAAGGAAUUUGUUCCACUACACUUGAGCACUCCACUGCUGCAACCUAAUACCAAUAGCCCAGGGUUCAGCUGCACAAGCAGAUGCAAAUAUAAUUUCCAAGCUAUUGACAACAAGAAUGAAUUGUGCUGCAGCCUGAAAGGCUGUAGAACUUCAGCUUUGAUCACAAACUUACUUGCCUCAAUUUAUCUAUGGACUAACUAAAUAAGUAUUGGUGAUGGAGAGAGACAGGGACAACUGAGUGGUGAUCAGAAUCCAAAUUUACUGUGGGCUACAUAAGCUUGUAUACCAUUCUAGGAAAGCUAGUAAUUUUUUACUACAAUGAUUGGGUUAAACAUCAUACAAACAUAUAAAUUUAUACCUUUUUGCAAUAUCUCUUCUACUUGAUUUAAUCUUCCCUGUCACCAGUCUGAUUCAAUCUUCUUGCAGUCUUCAAAGCUCUGUUUUUUCUUGCCAAGGCAUCCUGGUUAUCAAAUUUCUUACACUAAUCAGGUCCAAAGUACUUUCUGACUUUGCAAUAAAUAAGUACAGUAUUUUUUUAAGCAGAGAAGGAAAACAAAAUUCCUCUCAGCAAUCAGCCCACUUAGGGAAUUCCUAAAAUUCCCAUGGAGUAAAAACAUCAAAUCCAGCAUUUUGUUUUCCUCAAGGCCACAGUCUCCCUAGGGUUUUCUGAUCAGAUUAUGUAGCUAGUCUGCAGUCAAGAUUCAGAUUAGGUUUAUUCAGGGACUGACUCAUUGCAUUUUCCUGUAAUCUUAUAUUUUAACACCUGCUCAGUUCAAAAUGACAUUUUGAUCUAAAGUUGGUUUGCUAUUCAUCCUGUGUACAUUACUCAAGCUGCACAAAAUUAUUCCAAUUUAAACUCCUCUUUACACUUUCAGAUAGGUGUAUGUGAGUGAGUACAAGUGGUCAAUGAGGGGUUUUAAUUAGUUUUUUUUUGAAGAAAGAAUAGAAAUCAAUUUCAUAGGCUUGGAACUUCCAUUGAAUAGGAUAAACUUUCCUUGUGACAGUAGCAUUCUCACACAGUAGUCAAAGGCUUUUUAUUGCUUUUUUUGUAGUUUUUUAAUACACAGACCUGCAAUUAGAGAGAAAAAUAUAAAGUGGAAUUAUCAAAGCAGAUUCAAAAAAACUGAAAUAAUGCUACUACUAAAUAAGCACUGAAAAUCCCCUUUAGCAAUCAAAACCUGUGAAGCAAAAGGAACAGGGCUGGAAUCUUGUGCUAGAAAACCUUUGGGAUAACACAUAAUAAACCACGGGUUUCCAUGCUGGAAGGAAGAUACAGAUCUAAAACCAUGCAUGGCUGAAACAAUCAAACUAAUAAUUUUCUGCUGCUAUUUAUAUCUAGUCUGAUUUUUGCCUGAGAGGCCCCCCAUUCAGGAAAAAAAAUGAACAAAUUAUUUACUACAUUUAGAUCACUCAGAAUAGUUUUUUUUCAGAAGUAGGUUUUUGCUACUAGAAGUAUUUCCCUAAAAUAAUUGGUAGUUUUGAUUGCUGCUAAGCAGAGAAUGCAGCUUCCCUUCUCCCCUCUCUAUUGCAGAGAUUGCAGCUGCAAACAGCAGUGGCCUUACCCCUCCCAGGCCAGCACUGCAGGCUGCAGGGACUCUGAGGCAGCUUCUAGGAUCUCAGCUAGCUCUUGCAUGGAAGGAACAACUCAUUACUGAACAACAAACACUGGGUUGGAUAUAUUCCACACUAAUCAGGAGCCACAGAAGGAGCAUCAUGGGUGGCUCUUUUACAGAAAUGUUUUCCCUUUUCUUUUUGGUCAACACAGGCUUGUAAAGUUAGAGAAAAGCCUGCCCCAGGAGCUCAGUUUUGUUCUCUUUCUGGAUAUUCUGCCCUGAUAAGAGCUUCCUGACUUGUUGAAAAAGGAUUCUUACUCCUUGUUUCUCCUUCAUUCCUCCAUCCCAACUCUGGGCUGCAGUUGCCUCUCCUCCACCCAGCCCCUGAGAGAAUGACAGGAUAUUUUGGGUUGGAAAUCACCUUACAGCCCAGCUCAUUCCAACCUCUGCUAUAUCCACUAUACCAGGUUGAUCAAAGCCCUGUCCAACCUGGUCUUGAACACUCCCAGGGAUGUCUACGAGGAAAACAAUGGUAGCUUCAGACUUCAGCCACAUGAAAAUCAAGAAAAUUAUGCCAAUCACCAAGGUCUUCUUGAUAAUUAGCAGCUUCAGGACAAUUAAGUAUCUUUUCAUCUCAACCAUAUCUCACUUCCACCUCCCCAUUUCCCAGACAGCCGUUGCAGUGGCAGUAUCAGAACUCUUCUUGUAAUUGCUGAAUCUUUACUAUCUGACACCAGAACUGAGGUAUCUUCAGUUCGUAGAAACCAAAAUCCACACUUCAAAACUUUUCAGAGGUGUUAUAAUGCUGUAACUGGUAGGUAACUGCUGGGGAAGCAUUCUCAGCUGUUUGAAGAAUUGAAUUAACUAUCAGUAAUUUCCAUGGGGUAGCAAUGUGCUACCACUGCUCAGUGAAUUUGGAUGACAUUUUACCCUGACAUAAGAAAAGAUCUUUGGGGCAAUACAGUCUAAUAACUAUUUAGGCACCAAUGUGUUCUUAUGCACAGAUUUCUCGCUUCGUUCUCACACAUUAAGUGCUUGCCAUACUUCGAUUCUGGGCAGCCAGGUGGGGUGGUGGUGGUGAUGGUGAAAGGGCUCAGUAGCUGUUCAUCUCCUAGUUUUACUGCCCUCUUGUUUUUUUUACUUCUAAUUGUAGGUCCCAAACCAGAGCAUGUAAAGACAGAAAGGACAGGAAUGUAGGCUUUAUCUCUAAUUUACCUUUGCAGGGGUGGGGGAAUUUGUUGAAGUUUACCACUGGAACAAAAACUGACCAGUAAUUCAUAAAAGGAAACAUUGCAAUCACAGAGCAUAAUUUCAAAACACAGUGUAAUUUUUAGCUGACUGUAUGAGACCAAUUUAGAACAAAUACCAGUGCAGUUGAGUGGAAGGCACGCAUCAUUUGAACCGUGGUUGUCUGGGAUGUUGUUAGAAAUAAUAGCACCAUGGAGAAACUAUGUUGUUAGAAUAAAUCACCAUCUGCUUGGACAAAUUUAUUUUUUGCUGGAUUGGACAAGGAGAGGUAUUUACCAGGGUGAUAUUAUUUCUGCUGGAGGUCAUCUUGCAGCCUGGUAGAGCACUAGAUUCUUUAGAUUGAAAGUUUAAACCAAAUCUUCAGUAGUAGUAUAUGACACUUAGUAUAUGCCACAUUUAGGCUAUGGAGUCAUUCUGUGUUUUAAUAAAAAUGAAUUUAUUAAUCAUCUCACUCAUAAUUUAAAAGUUCAAUCACUUUUGUUAUGCAAAUGUGUUACGGGUUUUAUCACUCCAGCCACUUUCAAGUAUUGAUGAACACUGAGUAUAAGGUUGGACAAGAAUGAUGGUCUAAACCAGCUAAUGGACAAUUAUAUGGAAAUAAAAUGCAAACCAGCUCCUUCUUAGCUUGAGCUUCUGUAGACAAAGGAGUUAUUCUUUUCAUCAGAACAGAUACAUAAAGGCAGGUAGGUUUUGGUUACCCAUCAGUGAGCCAAAGAGCUUUCAGAUAAUUUGCCAAGUUCAGAGUUAAAAGCCUAUUCUUGCUUCCUGAGUUCAAAAGUCUUCUAAUAUAAACUAGAAAGCUGAAAAAGGCUUCUAUGAUUUUUACAGAACUUCUGUACCUGCUACGUUACACAAGGACAUGUCAAAUAGCUUUUGGAGAGCAGUUGUAAAAUCCGUUGUGUCAGGUGGAUGAGACUUUAAAUGGUUGUACUGAUUAUACUGGAAGUCUAGCUAAAUUUUACUGAAAACUUAGAGGAGAGAUGAAGGCAUACCCACCAGUUUACCCUACAAAAUUGCAUAGAAAAUCUUGACAUUUAGCACAAACUGCUGCAUUCUUUGAAUUUCUAUAGGUUAUGUCUAAAACUAUUUUGGUGAGUUCAAGGGAUAAAUUAUCUCAAGGGAAGUGGGUAAUGCUCAGAGAGAGACCAUGGUGGAAAGAUGUACCACACAUACCAUAUUCUAUAGUUUUCUGAAAUACUGCAUCUUUUUAAUUGGAUGGAUGAUGAUGGAGAACAGAACUACAUCAGGCAAGAAAAUCACCCCAUAUUUUAUUUCAUCUUAAUGACAAUAUUACAAAAAAGGGCUCCAAGAGCUCUACUGAGGGCAGUUCUGCCAUCCCUAAAAAUUAAAGCAAAUCAUUUUCCAAGCCUUAAGGAGUGGAGACAGCAAUGUAGUUUGAUUAGGAACCAUACAAUGCAUACUUUUUUGUAGGUAGUUGUUAGCUUAAGAAAAGAUGUGUUGCAUUUGACACUUCCCAGACACAUAACCUGCAAUGUAUAUUUCUUCUUGCAUAUCUCUCACCAAAGCCACACAGAAACUAAAUCUCGGGAACUGGAUAGGAAUGUUCCUGAUUUGCAGGGAACAGAGAAGAAUAGAUGUAUUUCUGGAGUCUAAAUUUCCUGGAAUGUCAGAAUUUAGAAUUUUGUUUGGAUUCUGAUGGAUGGGGCCUAAAUGUUAUCAGCUAAGCUAAACCUGAUCGGUUGGCUGCAAACCAGUAGAGAACUUUAAAGGUUCUCCACUCUUCAGGUACUGAGAAAAAUAAAAGAAACAAGGGUUAAAACUAAUGAGGAUGCAUCAAAGUAUUUUAAUCUAAUGUUUUAUGAAUAUUAAGCCCUCAAAUGUUAAGUGGAAAAAGCAGCAUCACUUCUUUUGACAUAGGUGGGAGUUUGAAUCUCUUUUACUUAGUCCAAACUCACGUUGUCGACAUUGUCUAGGAUUUCUUGCAAAUACUACCUCCAACACAGAAAAUUUAAAAUAAUUUCAUUUAGUUGUGAAACUGUGUUGAUAUCACAGAUUUCUGGUCUAUCACAAUUUUUAGCCACUAUUAAGGACUGAGAAAAUAAGCAGUAUGGACGUGUAGUAAUAGAUUUUCCAAUGUGAUUAAAUGCUUAGAUAGUGGAAACAUGUCUAGCAAUAAUGAUACCACAACAUCUAUAGCUUGGGUGAGUCUGACCUUUGGAGUUAAACAUCAGCCAGCAGCUGGACUGGAAUUUCUGGUACGUUCCACAACAUAUAUGAAAUAUUUGAUUUAAAAACUUAAAUGUCUGCAUCCUUCUGUCACGAUUUGGGAAUGGUAUUCUCCACUUUAGUACUCACACUAAAAAAGCCUCCCAUGCUCUCCUCCCCCCACCUCCAGCUGGAGGCACAAAAGUCACAGCUCAAGGGUUGGGAUAGGAACAGUUUAGUUAAAACAGCAAUGAGAUAAGAAAAUGAACAGGAACAGGAAUAGGAUAAACAGGAACAAGAAUAUGAGUAACAGAAGUCUGCAAAACUGUAGGUAUAUUGCCACGUUUUCUGAAGCGCUGCAGACAAACAUUAUGGAUGUGAAUCAGUCUUUUUACAUGAUAAGGACCUAAUUCUGUCCAGCAUGUGCCCUACUGCUGCUGUCACUAGAAUCUGUCAUCUUUGGUCAAAAUUUGUCUCUAAUGCUCCUUGUGUUUCAAAACAGUUGCAUCAAAUUAAACAAACUUUCCAACAUCUUUA